CAAUAGCGUAUAUUUAAGUUGUUGCAGUUAAAAAGCUCGUAGUCGGAUUUUGGCUGAGAACGAUCGGUCCGCCGUUAGGUGUGCACUGAUUGGUCUCAGCUUCCUGGUGAGGAGGUGUGCUUCACGGCCACUUAGUCACCGUGGCUACUUUGAAAAAAUUAGAGUGUUCAAAGCGGGCUUACGCUUGAAUAUAUUAGCAUGGAAUAACACCAUAGGACUCCUGUCCUAUUUCGUUGGUCUCGGGACGGGAGUAAUGAUUAAGAGGAACAGUUGGGGGCAUUCGUAUUUCAUUGUCAGAGGUGAAAUUCUUGGAUUUAUGAAAGACGAACUUCUGCGAAAGCAUUUGCCAAGGAUGUUUUCAUUGA
rnacentral:rRNA from 1 species